rnacentral:rRNA from 1 species
UACGGAGGGUGCAAGCGUUAUCCGGAUUCACUGGGUUUAAAGGGUGCGUAGGUGGGUUGGUAAGUCAGUGGUGAAAUCUCCAGGCUCAACUUGGAAACUGCCAUUGAUACUAUUAAUCUUGAAUACCGUGGAGGUCAGCGGAAUAUGUCAUGUAGCGGUGAAAUGCUUAGAUAUGACAUAGAACACCAAUUGCGAAGGCAGCUGGCUACACGAAUAUUGACACUGAUGCACGAAAAGCGUGGGGAUCAAACAGGA